rnacentral:rRNA from 1 species
ACAUGCAAGUCGUACAAGGUAACCGUAAUUGGGGAUUAUUGGCGAACGGGUGAGUAUUACGUGGGCAAUCUGCCCCUCUCUUCGGGACAGCCCUGGAAACGGGGGCUAAUACCGGAUGAUUCCUCCACUCGCAUGGGUGGAGGUUGAAAGCUCCUGUGGUGAGGGAUGAGCCCGCGGCCUAUCAGCUAAUUGGUGAGGUAACGGGUCACCAAGGCGACGACGGGUAGUCGGCCUGAGAAGGAAACCGGCCCCACUGGGACUGAGACCCGGCCCAUACUCCUACGGGAGGCAGCAGUGGGGAAUAUUGCACAAUGGGCGCAAGCCUGAUGCAGCGACGCCCCGUGAGGGAUGACGGCCUUCGGGUUGUAAACCUCUUUCAUCAGGGAAGAAGCGCAAGUGACCGUACCUGCAGAAGAAGCGCCGGUUAACUACGUGCCAGCAGCCGCGGUAAUACGUAGGGCGCAAGCGUUGUCAGGAAGAUAGUUGGGCGGAUAAUGAGCUCAUAGACAGGCCUGUCAAAGUCAAUAUGUGAAAGCCCGGGGCUUAAACCCGGAUACUGCAGACCAUACGGGCAGACUAGAGUGUGGUAGGGAAGAUCGGAAUUCCUGGAGUAGCGGUGAAAUGCGCAGAUAUCAGGAGGAACACCGAGUGGCGAAGGCAGAUCUCUGGGCCAUUACUGACGCUGAGUGAGCAAGAAAGUCGUGGGGAGGCGAACAGGAUUAGAGACCAAACAGGUAGUCCACGCCGUAAACGGGUCCACACUAGGUAAGUAAUCGACAUUCCAUGUCCGCUCGGUGCCGCAGCUAACGCAUUAAAUGCACCGCAUUGAGUGCACGGCCGCGAGGGUAAAACUGCAAGGAAUUAACGGAGGUGCGCUCAAGCAGCGGAGCAUGUGCGGUAGUUUGACGCAACGCGAAGAACCUUCGCAAGGCUUGUCAUACACCGGAAACAUGUAGAGACAGGCGCCACCAUGUGUUCGGUGUUCAGGUGGUGCAUGGCCGUCGUCAGCUCGUGUCGUGAGAUGUUGGGUUAAGUCCCGCAACGAGCGCAACCCAUGUCCCGUGUUGCCAUCAAGCCCUUCGGGGUGUUGGGGACUCACGGGAGACCGCCGGGGUCAACUCGGAGGAAGGUGGGGAGGACGUCAAGUCUGCAUGCCCCUUAUGUGGUGGGCUGCGCACGCGCCACAAUGGCCGGUACAAUGCACUGAGAUCCCACGCGGUGGAGCGAAUCUCAAAAAGCCGGUCUCAGUUCGGAUGGGGGUCUGCAACUCGACCCCAUGAAGUCGGAGGUGCUAGUAAUCGCAGAUCAGCAUUGCUGCGUGAAUACGUUCCCGGGCCUUGUACACACCGCCCGUCACGUCACGAAAAUCGGUAACACCCGAAGCCAGCGGCCCA